AAAAGUCUUUGUCAUGUGCAGCUGUA
rnacentral:sRNA from 1 species